CCGUGUACCGUGAAUUAAUUAUCCUAUAUGCAAUUAUGCAUUUUUGCAUUGUCCAGUCUUCGUCUAUCCAAUGACUUGUUAUGGUUAGAUAAUCACAAUCAUUUCCACUUCUACCAAUAUCAGUUGUAAUAGCAGGACUAGUAAGUGUAUCAUCUAAAUCUGGUGCUUGGGUUUCAUCAUCAUCAUCAUCCUCAUUUCACUCUAAGAUAGGUGCAUUAGGAUAAAGAGCAUUCAUAAUAUCAUCAUCUAUUCUAUCACCUACUGCCACAUCAUGUAGAAAAUCAAUAUCGCUAAAUUGAAAAUAAGGGUGAUCACUAUCAAGGAUUUCGAAUGGUUCAUUAGGAUUUCUAGGUUGGCUACUACUUUCAACUUGCUUAUCUUUUCUAGGUCNNNN
rnacentral:lncRNA from 1 species